rnacentral:misc_RNA from 1 species
CAAGUGACCCCGGUCUAACCACCGGGAUGUUCAUAACCCUUUGUUGUCCGACUCUGUUGCCUCCGGGGCGACCCUGCCUUCGGGCGGGGGCUCCGGGUGGACACCUUCAAACUCUUGCGUAACUUUGCAGUCUGAGUAAACUUAAUUAAUAAAUUA